AUUGAACGCUGGCGGCAUGCCUAACACAUGCAAGUCGAGCGGAGCGGCGGACGGGUGAGUAAUGCCUAGGAAUCUGCCUGGUAGUGGGGGAUAACGUCCGGAGACGGGCGCUAAUACCGCAUACUCUCAGAUGAGCCUAGGUGGUAUUAGCUAGUUGGUGGGGUAAAGGCCUACCAAGGCGACGAUCCGUAACUGGUCUGAGAGGAUGAUCAGUCACACUGGAACUGAGACACGGCCCAGACUCCUACGGGAGGCAGCAGUGGGGAAUAUUGGACAAUGGGCGAAAGCCUGACCCAGCCAUACCGCGUGGGUGAAGAAGGCCUUCGGGUUGUAAAGCUCUUUUGUUGGGAAAGCGGUACCUAAAGAAUAAGCACCGGCUAACUUCGUGCCAGCAGCCGCGGUAAUAC
rnacentral:rRNA from 1 species